GAUGAACGCUGGCGGCGUGCCUAAUACAUGCAAGUCGAGCGAACGGACGAGAAGCUUGCCUCUCUGAUGUUGGCGGCGGACGGGGGAGUAACACGUGGAUAACCUACCUAUAAGACUGGGAUAACUUCGGGAAACCGUAUCUAAUACCGGAUAAUAUUUUGAAUCGCAUGGUUCAAAAGUGAAAGACGGUCUUGCUAUCACUUAUAGAUGGAUCUGCACUCGAUUACCUAGUGCGUAAUGUAACGGCUUCCCAAGGCAACGAUGCAUAUCCGACCUGAGAGGGUGAUCCGCCACACUAGAACUGAGGAACGGUCCAGACUCCUACAGGGAGCAACAGUAGGGAAUCUUCCGGGAUGGGCGAAAGCGUGACAGAGCACAGCCGCGUGAGUGAUGAAGGUCUUCGGAUCGUAAAACUCUGUUAUUAGGGAGGAACAUAUGUGUAAGUAACUGUGCACAUCUUGACGGUACCUAAUCAGAAAGCCACGGCUAACUACGUG
rnacentral:rRNA from 1 species